rnacentral:rRNA from 1 species
CAACUCUCAACAACGGAUAUCUUGGCUCCCGCAACGAUGAAGAACGCAGCGAAAUGCGAUACUUAAUGUGAAUUGCAGAAUUCCGUGAAUCAUCGAGUUUUUGAACGCAUAUUGCGCCCGAGACUUCGGUCGAGGGCAUGCCUGCCUCAGCGUCGGUUG